UGCCAUGACCAAGUGGAAGUCAGAAGAUCACCUGUAGAAAUCAGCUCUCUCCCUCUAUCAUGUGGCCCUGGCCCUGGGGAUCAAAGUCAGUUCAUCAGGCUUAGUGGAAGGCACCCUUACCCACUGAGUCAUCUCAUUGGCCCCAAUUUCUACUUUUUAAAUUUCUAAGCUUGUUAUUUCUUUCCUUCUGCUGAGUUUAGGCUUAAUUUGUCUUCUUUCCCUGUUCCUGAAGGUGUGCAACUGAGUUGUAUGAUGUCGACAUUUAUUGUUGUGACAUCAACAAUAUUUGCUCUUAGAGACAUGUCUACUGCAUCUCACAAGCAGGCUGGGCUUCUGCAUUCAUUCAUUCCAUGGAGACUCUACACCCCUGCUUCCUGUCAUCAUAUCUGCCCCAAUUCCAGCUUGGCUAACCUUGGCAUCCCUGAGCAAAUCCCACAUCACAAACCACGGUAAGUGAUGUCUGCUGAAGCAGAGGUGAGCGCCUGCCAUCUGAAUGCAGCUUCUCCUCUUGAACCUGAGCAAGCCGGGAGCCAAGGUGUCUUCAGCAGCACCAGGCCUAUGACAGAGGACAGAGGUGAAUGAAGUGGAACACGGGCAGACACAGCGCAGCCCUCGCUUCUGCACAUUAAUGAAAAAAACCUAUUUAUGAACAGUGCUCUGUGAGGAAUCUGAGUGGGGCUGGCAGGCUCAGGCAGAACCGGUCAGGCUCCCAGCUCUGUUUCACUGUGUCUACAAGUGUUCUGCGGAUUUCUCUUCCACUGAGAAACAGAACUCGGGCAGGUCCCUGUCUUUUCUUCAAGCCUCUGGCUGCUUCUCUGUGGGCGGCUAGUGUGAGCAUUAAGAACACAGGCCUGCGAAGUGCUUCCCGCUGGGCUUAGUCAGUACCAGAGUAUGGUGGUGACUCCUGUCAACUUGAUGGGCUCUGGAGUCAAUGAAGGGGCGAGGCUCCGGGUGGAUCUGUGGGAACAUUCCCUGAAGGAUUAGCAGAGAGGGAGGAGGCCCAGAGCGGGUAGCACUGUCCAGCGGUGGCCCAGAUGUAAAGAGGCCCAAGGGAAAUAAUGUUGCUGCUUUUGCCGGCUGCCUUCAGGCCUAGCUGUAUUUAUGGAUGAUCACAGACAUGAACAAAGCCAGCAGAAGAUGAGGCCUGCAGACCCCAGGGCUAUGCCCAUGUCACAGCUGCUACCCUCCUUCACUCCAGAUCUGGGUGUCCCGCUACUCUAAACCAGGGGACAAAGGACCCAUGCUUUCCACCUGUCCUGUCCACACUUCCCCAACCUGGAAUGCUAGCCAGCUGCUCUUUCUGUGUCUGCUGCUGUGGUGGGCAGAUGUCCUCAUUCUGGCUUUCUGGGGGACACCCAGGCUCUGCUCCUCAGAGGUGAGGGCCAUGCCUUUUCCUGGGAUCUCCCCAGUCUCCACUCAGUGCCCAGGCUUCAGUGAGAGCUCACCCUUUCUACUCUCCAAGUCUCCCUACUCGUGUUCCUUACUUUCAUCUUGUUUAGAGGUAGAAAGACUUGGUGGAGCAGAGCUGAUCAGAUGGUGUGGCCAGGAAGCAGAGAGCGGUGACAGAGAGAAAGGAGCUAGGACAAGAGACACCUUUCCAAGAUAUGCUGUCCUCCAUGACCUACUUCCUCCAGCCAGGCCCCACCUCCCCGCUUUCACCAUCCUUCAGUAAUGCUGUCAAACCACAAACCCACCUACAGAUGAGUCUACUGAUGAGAUCAGGGCCUUAGGCCAUCACCUUAGAGACCCUCAUCUGCAGCCAACCCGCACAGCACAGGAGCCCAGGUGGGACAUUUCUUAUUUAAAUGUGACAGAUGUCAUGUGUUUGUUAAUUGUCUGUUUGGGCACCAAAAGACAUGGACUCACCAGUUUUAAAAGAUAUAAUUACUAUUUUCAUGUGUAUGCCUGUCUGUGUGGAUAUACGCAUGUGUGAGUUCACUGUCCACAGAGGCUGAAGAGAGCAUUAUAUCCCCUGAAGCUGGAGUUACAGGUGGUUGUGAGCUAUCCCAAGUGGGUACUGGGAAUAAAACUCCCAUCCUCUGGAAGAGCACCAAGAGCUCCGAACUGCUGAGGCCAUCUCCACAGCUCUAAGGAGCUGUCUGUUCUGUUCUCUGCUUCAUCUCUGUCACCAGGAAGGUCCACAGGGUACAUAGUAGGUUUUCAGUAAAUAUGUAUAGAAUGAACAAAGCCCUGAAGCACAUGGUUCUGUGUUAUAAGUUGGAUGCUGACCGGAAGUCAUCAAUAACA